AUUGAACGCUGGCGGCAGGCUUAACACAUGCAAGUCGAGCGGGGGAGGUUACUUCGGUAACUGACCUAGCGGCGGACGGGUGAGUAAUGCUUAGGAAUCUGCCUAUUAGUGGGGGACAACAUUCCGAAAGGAAUGCUAAUACCGCAUACGCCCUACGGGGGAAAGCAGGGGAUCUUCGGACCUUGCGCUAAUAGAUGAGCCUAAGUCGGAUUAGCUAGUUGGUGGGGUAAAGGCCUACCAAGGCGACGAUCUGUAGCGGGUCUGAGAGGAUGAUCCGCCACACUGGGACUGAGACACGGCCCAGACUCCUACGGGAGGCAGCAGUGGGGAAUAUUGGACAAUGGGCGGAAGCCUGAUCUAGCCAUGCCGCGUGUGUGAAGAAGGCCUUUUGGUUGUAAAGCACUUUAAGCGAGGAGGAGGCUCCUUUAGUUAAUACCUAAAGUGAGUGGACGUUACUCGCAGAAUAAGCACCGGCUAACUCUGUGCCAGCCGCCGCAGUAA
rnacentral:rRNA from 1 species